CACCGCGGUUAUACGAAAGACCCUAGUUGACAAACACGGCGUAAAGGGUGGUUAAGGGACAUGUAAAAUAAAGCCAAAGACCCUCUAAGCCGUCAUACGCACCCCGAAGGUACGAAGCCCCCACACGAAAGUAGCUUUAAACAUAUAAAGCCCCUGACCCCACGAAAGCUAAGAAA
rnacentral:rRNA from 3 species